rnacentral:rRNA from 1 species
UACGAAGGGGGCUAGCGUUGCUCGGAAUCACUGGGCGUAAAGCGCACGUAGGCGGAUUGUUAAGUCAGGGGUGAAAUCCUGGAGCUCAACUCCAGAACUGCCUUUGAUACUGGCGAUCUCGAGUCCGGGAGAGGUGAGUGGAACUGCGAGUGUAGAGGUGAAAUUCGUAGAUAUUCGCAAGAACACCAGUGGCGAAGGCGGCUCACUGGCCC